GGCACUAUAGCCAAGUGGUUAAGGCGACAGAUUAGAAUUCAGGUUUUAUGAUAUCACUUCUAUCUGUUACUCUCUGAGUGCGCAGGUUCAAAUCCUGCUGGUGUCG